UGCGUAGGCGGAUAUUUAAGUUAGGUGUGAAAUCCCUGAGCUUAACUUGGGAAUGGCACUUAAGACUGGAUAUCUAGAGUCUAUGAGAGGGGGGUGGAAUUCCUGGUGUAGCAGUGAAAUGCGUAGAGAUCAGGAGGAAUACCAAUGGCGAAGGCAACCCCCUGGCAUAAGACUGACGCUGAGGCACGAAAGCGUGGGUAGCAAACAGGAUUAGAUACCCUGGUAGUCCACGCCGUAAACGAUGUUUACUUGCUGUUGGGGGAGUCAAUCCUUUAGUAGCGUAGCUAACGCGAGAAGUAAACCGCCUGGGGAGUAUGGUCGCAAGAUUAAA
rnacentral:rRNA from 1 species